AUUCAGCUGUGGCCGUUUAGCUGUCAUGUGAGCUUUGACUCCUGGGGAAGGCGAGAGGAACAAAGCUCAGCUGGAAAUUAAAGACAGCAAAUUAGAAGAACAAUAACUGAACGCGAGAGGCAGCUAUGUAAAAACGCCCCUAAAAGCCAGGAUUUAUGCAGAAGAAAAAUAACUUUUUGCAUAGAGCAGACACCCAAGCAACUCUGCCAGCACCAGACACUGAAAUGCAAACAGCUUCAUCAAGAUACACUGAAAUCGUAGAAAUUCCUUGGCAGAAAGAUGCUGUAUAGAUAUUUCCUGAGCAAAACGCGGCUGGGGAGAAGCAAGUGUUAUCCCAAUUUUGAAGGGGCACAGAGAGGGCAAGUGGCUUGCUGUUUGCUCUGGCAGGAAGCAGUAGGUGAGCUGAAGCUCUGGCCACGCACCGUCUGUGCCAACCCGGGACUGGCGCACGAGAACUUUUGCUGCUGUCAGAAGCUGAGCCUUUGACCCCAGGGAGCUGGAUGGCAGCAGUCAUGCUGAGAACCUUUAAAUAGCUAAAGAAUAGCUGAAA